UUUUGCUAUUUGUUGUUGUUGUUGUUAUUAUUUUAACUCUGAUUUUUUUGCUUGUUCUUCGUACGUUCGACAAACAGGCAACACGCUAACGUAGGCGGUGUUGCGUUAACGAGGACUGCUUAACUCAAAAACAAAUGUGAUCAUAACCAACAUGUUUGAUACCAUCUGACGCCAUUUAGUUACAUUUCAGCCAAUGUCAAUGCUUCAUAUAACUAACUGUAUUUUUUAAAAUGUAUGUGUUUUCUAUUUAUAGAUGAAAUGGUUUGACAGUAAUUCAGGUUAUUUCUCUCACGCUCUAUUCUUAUAUCAAGUUGAAACUUUUCACGAUUAUCCAUUGCCCUAACUACAAGAAUCAAUCAAAAUGUUAAUCAGUUAAUUAAUGAAAGGAAAUAAAUCAUAAAAGUAUU